GUCCCUGUAGCUCAAUUGGAUAGAGCGCAGGCCUCCGGAGCCUGUAGUGGCAGUUCGAUUCUGCCCAGGGACA
rnacentral:tRNA from 1 species